GGUGCUCUAGUAUAGUUAGAGCGUCCACCUCGGAUGCGGGAGGUCGCGGGUUCGAACCCCGGCUGAGUCA